GAUGAAAACGUAGCGAAAUGCGAUAAGUAAUGUGAAUUGCAGAAUUCAGUGAAUCAUCGAAUCUUUGAACGCACAUUGCGCCCGCCAGCAUUCUGGCGGGCAUGCCUGUUCGAGCGUCAUUUCAACCCUCGAGCCCCCCCGGGGGCCUCGGUGUUGGGGGACGGCACACCAGCCGCCCCCGAAAUGCAGUGGCGACCCCGCCGCAGCCUCCCCUGCGUAGUAGCACACACCUCGCACCGGAGCGCGGAGGCGGUCACGCCGUAAAACGCCCAACUUUCUUAGAGUUGACCUCGGAUCAGGUAGGAAUACCCGCUGAACUUAAGCAUAUCAAUAAGCGGAGGA
rnacentral:misc_RNA from 1 species